UCGGCUGCUGCUUCCACCCUGAAUGAACCCCCUGAUUUGGAGGCAACCCCUGGAGUCCAGUGACUUUCAGUCCAUCCCUUUCGACCACAAAGGGCCAGUCCCCUUUCACAGGGGCAGGUUCUGCCAACAGAACCCUUCCUGGGGGGUGUGUGGAGAUUCCUGCCUUGGCUGGGGACCCCCCAAGGUCACUGCUGGAGGUUGAGAGCAGAGAUCUCCCCCCGAGUGUUGGUCUGGGGGAGUUCCAUCCCUCUGUAACUAAGAAUUAUUGCUUUUGUGUCAGCUUUAGUAGAAUUGCUUCAACAAUUGCUUUAGUGUAGAGCACUGUCCUAUCUUAUCCUGUACUCCUGGUAGUUUUAGUGUUUCUACUGUGCAGUAAAUAAUUCUGAUGAAGAU